CAAUAAUCGACAGGCGAAUAAAAAGUCACAAAGGACUAACCUCGGGACCUUGGGACCAAGACCACUCGGGUCA